CCUUACCAACCCUUGACAUCCCGGGACCGGCCCAGAGAUGGGUCUUUCACUUCGGUGACUCGGUGACAGGUGCUGCAUGGCUGUCGUCAGCUCGUGUCGUGAGAUGUUCGGUUAAGUCCGGCAACGAGCGCAACCCACGUCUUUAGUUGCCAGCAGUUCGGCUGGGCACUCUAAAGAAACUGCCCGUGAUAAGCGGGAGGAAGGUGUGGAUGACGUCAAGUCCUCAUGGCCCUUACGGGUUGGGCUACACACGUGCUACAAUGGUGUCUACAGUGGGUUAAUCUCCAAAAGACAUCUCAGUUCGGAUUGUCGUCUGCAACUCGACAGCAUGAAGUCGGAAUCGCUAGUAAUCGCGUAACAGCAUGACGCGGUGAAUACGUUCCC
rnacentral:rRNA from 1 species